UUUAUGCAGAGCUACUCGUCUGUGUUUUUAUGACUCUUGUUGGGGGAAACUGCAUUAAGUUUACAUUGUUUGUCUUAAAAUGUGGGUUUGGGCCUAACUCAACCCCAAAAGCUAGCUCAUGGGGUGAGGGUUGUCUCCCACUUAUAUAUUCUAUCUUUGCACUAUCUCUACCCACAAUCCAGUUCUUUUACUCAUUGGAUGGUAACAUAAGAAAUUCCAUCCAAUAUUUCCGGCCUUGUUUCAUGUCUAGUAUUGCAUGCUAUGUUAGCCAUUGUGAUUGUCAUCAUUGUGGCAUAAAGUUACCAAGCAGGACAGGAUGUCCGCAUAUAUGCAGUUUGGCUUUCCGUUUUUAUAUCAUUUUUGUAUGUUCUUAAUAGUAGGUAUAUUUUAUUACAAGAUUUAAUUUUAAUUAGGCAUACAAGGCUCUGUGGGCUUUUUGUCUGACCCAUAUGGGCUAUGGCUUGACUCGGUUGGUCCAUUUGACAGUUUUAUCUUAACUGAAACUUUCUUUCACCUUUGCCAUUGAAGUACUCUGCCUGCUAGGUGUGAUGUACUACUACUUGUUUUCCUUUCAUACCUGCUAUGUCUCUUCCUAUUAAACCUCAAGUUGCUUCUGCAAACUAUAUGCUGCUAAAGCCACACACAUAAAGUGGAGCUGAUUGCAUAACUAGAAUAUGAUUGAGAGCUAAUAACUAAUUCAGAUGAUCUUGUAAAGGUUAUAAUCAGUCAUUUUACAUGAAAAGGAGGGAUCUUUUAGUCAAGCUAUUGGAAACUUGCUGCAGUAAGAUAUCAAUCACACAGUUGCACUCACAGUGUUUGAAAGUGGGCCUUGCCCUUGAUAGUUUCGUUGUUACCAAGCUUAAUGUUCUUUAUGCUAGAUAUGCAUCACUUUGCCAUGCACAUAAGCUGUUUGAAGAAACACCUUGUAAAACUGUCUAUCUAUGGAAUGCUUUACUUAGGAGCUAUUUUUUGGAAGGAAAAUGGGUAGAGACGUUAUCUCUAUUCCAUCAAAUGAACGCUGAUGCAGUAACUGAGGAAAGACCUGACAAUUACACAGUGUCUAUUGCUUUGAAAUCAUGUUCUGGUUUGCAGAAGCUUGAGCUGGGAAAAAUGAUUCAUGGAUUUCUCAAGAAGAAGAUAGAUAGUGACAUGUUUGUAGGGUCUGCAUUGAUUGAGUUGUAUUCAAAGUGUGGACAAAUGAAUGAUGCUGUGAAAGUGUUUACAGAGUAUCCAAAACCAGACGUGGUUUUAUGGACUUCAAUAAUUACUGGGUAUGAGCAGAAUGGAAGUCCUGAACUUGCACUUGCGUUUUUCUCCCGAAUGGUUGUGUUGGAGCAAGUAAGUCCUGAUCCAGUAACACUUGUUAGUGCUGCUUCUGCUUGUGCCCAGUUAUCUGAUUUUAACCUUGGAAGAAGUGUACAUGGAUUUGUAAAACGAAGGGGUUUUGAUACUAAGUUAUGUUUGGCCAAUUCUAUUCUAAAUUUAUAUGGAAAAACUGGUUCCAUCAGGAUUGCAGCUAAUUUGUUCAGGGAAAUGCCAUAUAAAGAUAUUAUAUCUUGGAGCUCAAUGGUUGCCUGUUAUGCUGAUAAUGGAGCUGAAACUAAUGCGUUAAAUCUUUUCAAUGAAAUGAUAGAUAAGAGAAUUGAACUCAACAGGGUUACUGUCAUUAGUGCAUUGCGAGCUUGUGCUUCCAGUUCAAAUUUGGAAGAAGGUAAGCAGAUUCAUAAAUUAGCCGUCAAUUAUGGUUUUGAGUUGGAUAUUACUGUCUCUACAGCUCUUAUGGACAUGUACCUGAAGUGCUUCUCACCUGAAAAUGCAAUUGAACUUUUCAACAGAAUGCCCAAGAAGGAUGUAGUUUCUUGGGCUGUUUUGUUUAGUGGCUAUGCUGAAAUUGGAAUGGCACACAAAUCCCUGGGGGUUUUCUGCAACAUGUUAUCUAAUGGAACACGACCUGAUGCUAUUGCUCUAGUGAAGAUUCUUGCUGCUAGUUCAGAAUUGGGGAUUGUUCAACAAGCUUUAUGUCUUCAUGCUUUUGUAACUAAAAGUGGAUUUGACAAUAAUGAAUUUAUUGGAGCGUCACUCAUAGAGUUGUAUGCAAAAUGUAGUAGCAUAGAUAAUGCUAACAAGGUUUUCAAAGGAAUGAGACAUAAAGAUGUUGUUACCUGGAGCUCAAUAAUUGCAGCUUACGGAUUCCAUGGGCAAGGAGAAGAGGCUUUGAAAUUAUUUUAUCAGAUGUCUAAUCAUUCAGAUGUUAAGCCUAAUGAUGUAACCUUCGUCUCAAUUCUAUCUGCCUGUAGUCAUGCAGGUUUGAUUGAAGAAGGGAUAAAGAUGUUUCAUGUCAUGGUGAAUGAAUACCAAUUGAUGCCCAAUAUAGAGCAUUACGGGAUAAUGGUUGAUCUUCUUGGUCGAAUGGGAGAGUUGGAUAAGGCCUUGGAUAUGAUUAAUAACAUGCCCAUGCAAGCUGGGCCUCAUGUAUGGGGAGCCUUACUUGGUGCUUGUCGCAUACAUCAAAAUAUUAAGAUAGGGGAGCUUGCCGCUCUGAAUCUUUUCCUGUUAGACCCUAAUCACGCAGGGUAUUAUACGCUUUUAUCAAAUAUAUAUUGUGUGGACAAGAAUUGGCAUGAUGCUGCAAAACUCAGGACAUUGAUAAAGGAGAAUAGGUUGAAGAAGAUUGUUGGUCAAAGCAUGGUUGAGAUAAAAAAUGAGGUUCACAGUUUCAUAGCUAGUGAUAGAUUCCAUGGUGAAUCUGAUCAGAUUUAUGAAAUGCUGAGAAAAUUAGAUGCAAGAAUGAGAGAAGAAGGUUAUGAUCCUGAUUUACAGACACAAGAAAUACAGUUCUAAUUUUGACUGUGUGGAACAUUAAAUCUGAUGGGGAAGUUGUCUCAUGGCAUUAAGAUUUAUACCAUAAUUUAGAUGGUUGACUUGCUGGUACUGAGAUUGGGGAAGUUAUUUGUGGUCAGAAAUACCUUUGCAAGCGCUUUUUCUGCAGUUUGAUUGCUUCACUCUAAGCAGAAAUUUGAUAAUUAAGUAAAUAAGUUGAGAAGGGCUCAUUAAAGCUUCUUAGUGGCAGACCAAAACAUAAAGUGGAAGUGGAUUUGUUCUGAUGGCGACUAUUGAAAAAUCUUCAACGUAAUCAAACCACUGCUUCAUUGGAAAAUCUUGAUGAAUCUCCUUGAGGGAAAGAAUCUUGAUGAUUUUUCAACAGUGUAUCCUGUCAUUGAAAGUUUCUAGACCAUCACUACUUCAUUGGCCAUCUUCUAUAGCACAGGAUUCCUUUAACAUAUAUUGCUUUUUUUUGCACCUUUUGUUUGUUAUUUUAACUUCUGUGUGCAAGUUUUUCCUUCCUGUGAAGAGGAGCACACUAUACCUGUAGUAUCGUUGUCCUUUGGAUCCUCUCAUGUGACAUAACUAGAAUGUCGGCGGACAGCUUUUAUCUUCUAAUAAUAUCCUGUCUCUCUUUUGACAUGGUAUUCAUCUCAUGAGAUGACCAAAUUUGUCUAUUCAUUUGUGUU